GGAACACAAGCUUUUCGUUACAAUUACAUCUGCUAAAUAUUUGUAUGGAUCAAUACAAUUUGAUUUGAUUUUAGAAAUGAGACCAGAAAUACCUUACAAUCUCCUUACUAUUACCCAGUCCCCCCUUAUCUUUGACUGACCACAGCAGUAGCAGGUGUUUCGUGAAACUGGAGGUAGAGGCACGGACGUGGUACUUUUCAGGGCAGGUCCCUACCACCCGGUAAAGCAGUAAAGAGCAGGAAGAGGCAGGUGAAUAGUAACGGCACCGCCACCAAAGAAGAUUAAAAAAAGGGAGAAAAGCGUGAGGGACAAGAGGAAACCUGAGAGGGAGAAAGAAAAGGAGGAAAAGACAAAGGGGAAAACAAAGCCAAGAAAGGGUUGCUGCUGAAGGGCCUGGGAGAUGUGUUCAGGAUCCAGGCGGAGACUAGCGUGUUCCGUGAACAUCAGGCAUCGGUGGCGAGGGAGAGAGGGAGUACGCUGAGAUCCAACCUCAACCGCACCUUCAGCUCCAACGAGUGAAGGGGUCAAACCAAGGCCUCAUAAAUUGUCUUAUGUUAAACUGUAAGGUCUCCUCCCAGGAGACUCCUGUGUGUGUGUUAAAACCUGUUUUGAGUGAUAUGCCCUGCAGACACUAUCAGAAGGCGGAAACCGCCUACGCUCAUACUCCUCCUGUCUGGGUCCCACUGUGACUGCCUGAGGUUCUAAGAAUACGUCUGGUUUUCUGAGAACACAAGGCCACCGCAGGCCUGAUGGAAACCGCCACCUGGCAGAAGAGGCUUAGACUUAUCUGUUGUGAAAUGUC
ensembl:lncRNA